rnacentral:rRNA from 1 species
CAGCAGCCGCGGUAAUACGAGGGGGGCAAGCGUUGUUCGGAAUUAUUGGGCGUAAAGGGUGCGUAGGCGGUUUGACAAGUCUUAUGUGAAAUCUCUGGGCUCAACCCAGAGUCUGCAUGGGAAACUGUCGGGCUUGAGUAUGGGAGAGGUGAGUGGAAUUUCCGGUGUAGCGGUGAAAUGCGUAGAUAUCGGAAGGAACACCUGUGGCGAAAGCGGCUCACUGGACCAUAACUGACGCUGAGGCACGAAAGCUAGGGGAGCAAACAGGAUUAGAUACCCCAGUAGUCCCUGUCUCUUAUAC